rnacentral:rRNA from 1 species
GAUGAACGCUAGCGGCAGGCCUAAUACAUGCAAGUCGAACGGUGUAGCACUACACAGUGGCGCACGGGUGCGUAACACGUAUGCAACCUACCUUACAUUGGGGGAUAGCCUUUCGAAAGGGAGAUUAAUACCGCAUAAGACAGUAACUUGGCAUCAAGUAGCUGUUAAAGAUUUAUCGAUGUAAGCUGGGCAUGCGUCCAAUUAGUUAGUUGGCGAGGUAAUGGCGCACCAAGACGAUGAUUGGUAGGGGAACUGAGAGGUCAAUCCCCCACACUGGCACUGCGAUACGGGCCAGACUCCUACGGGAGGCAGCAGUAGGGAAUAUUGGGCAAUGGACGCAAGUCUGACCCAGCCAUGCCGCGUGCAGGAAGAAGGCGUUAUGCGUUGUAAACUGCUUUUAUAUAGGAAGAAACGACCCUUGCGAGGGGCAUUGACGGUACUAUAUGAAUAAGCACCGGCUAACUCCGUGCCAGCCGCCGCCGUAAGAC